rnacentral:rRNA from 1 species
AUGGGUAGUUGGACCAGAUUCCCAUCCUACUUCGUCUCCCCGAAUAUCUGGAAUAGUCUGUCAUGGACUCAUGGAGAGAUUGCUCACUCGUUGGGCAUGGUCACUGGUGCGGCGACUGUCCUCACAGACACAGAGAACCUUGCUGCCUUGUCGCUAAAUGACACCAUGUUGUGGAAAAACUUUAACCACCUGACCGACACAUUCAUCCCCACCAUAAAGGUCCGGAUUGGUGUUGUCACGUGUGGCAGUACCUUCCUCGUUCGCUGGUCCCCUUCUUCUUUAAAAGGAAAGUGUAGGCCAGGUCGAAAGUCCUCUUCUGCGCUCGCGCACACAUGCUCUCGUUAUCGCUCCCGUUCAGCCCCUUCGAGAUUGCCAACCCGACAUGUAUAG